rnacentral:lncRNA from 1 species
GCUGUGUGCAUCAGUCGACGCACGUGCGCCGUUCCUUCUUAAAGACUGUUUUUUGUUCAUUUUCGGCCUAUAUCAUAAGGUUAGUGGUAGUUUGGUGGAAUCAUCUUUUUCUUUUUCUAUUUUGGGUAGACUAUAUUCAGCUUUGCUGUCUAGUUUUGCCUGACGUUAAAAACAUAUGACCGUGUGCAUCUGUAUCCGUGUGCAUCAGUGGAUACAGAUGCCUAGAGCUAUCCAAACAGAAAUUUCGAAAAAGAAAAACAUGGGCAGGCUCGCGGGCGGUGGCAACGAGAAGGCCAAACCCAAACAGAAAUUUGUACGGCCAGGUACGGAAGCAAAAGGCCCACGGAGCAAAACAGCCCAGCUAAGAGGUAGCAAAACUGAAAAAAAUGCCGUCUGCACGUACUGGUGGAAACAGCGGCAACAAACACUGACUGGGCCAGACCAUGGGGUAACAGACGCCGCAUGAGCUGGAGCGCAGAGAGAGUGUUAAAAAAAAAAUUGUGUCCAGGUUUCCAGGCAGAGCAAGAGUGAAAGCCGCAGACAGGCCGUCCGCAACAAGUAG